GCCGGGAGCGGUGGUGCAUGCCUGUAGUCCCAGCUACUUGGGAGGCUGAGGUGGGAGGAUCGCUUGAGCCCAGGAGUUCUGGGCUGCAGUGUGCUAUGCCGAUCAGGUGUCCGCACUAAGUUCAGCAUCAAUAUGGUGACCUCCUGGGAGUGGGGGACCACCAGGUUGCCUAAGGAGGGGUGAACCGGCCCAGGUCAGAAACGGAGCAGGUCAAAACUCCCGUGCUGAUCAGUAGUGGGAUCGUGCCUGUGAAUAGCCACUGCACUCCAGCCUGGGCAACAUAGUGAGACCCCCGUCUCU
rnacentral:SRP_RNA from 1 species